GGACGAUUAGCGAAGCGGCCAAACGCAACUGACUGUAAAUCAGUCUCCUAUGGAUUCGGUGGUUCAAAUCCACCAUCGUCCACCA
rnacentral:tRNA from 1 species